rnacentral:rRNA from 1 species
GACAGAGGGUGCAAACGUUGUUCGGAAUUACUGGGCGUAAAACGUGUGUAGGCGGUCCACUAAGUCUGGUGUGAAAGCCCUGGGCUCAACCCAGGAAGUGCACUCGAAACUGGCGGGCUAGAGUAUCGGAGAGGUUGGUGGAAUUCUCGGUGUAGAGGUGAAAUUCGUAGAUAUCGAGAGGAACACCGGUGGCGAAAGCGGCGCACUGGACCACAACUGACGCUGAGGCGCGAAAGCUAGGGGAGCAAACAGG